rnacentral:lncRNA from 1 species
UGGAGGCAGGCAGUUUAUCGGCCCCAUGGGAACCAUUGUCAGCCUUGCGUGUACAGGUUGUGUUCCUCCAUCGUAGCCCUCCAUGCACUACGGGUAACAGCAGCACAUCGACGUUUGGGGGGCGAGCGUAUGAGCCAACACACACAAAUUACGCGCUAACGAGCGGCUGAGACAACCACUAACGAUACAGGUGCGUGAGCUCGGCUCCAAAUCACCGAGAUGUGUGUGCCGGCUUCUCUCCCAGAUUGGUGCACGAUAUUCACCGGGGCGGAGUGCGGACAGGGGUUCAUAAACCAUCUGCCUCUGCUCGCAAGAAGGCUCCCGCUGGCUUCUGGAUCAAGGCGAUACGGGAGGCGGUGGGAUGGGGCUGGUAUGUUGGAUGUCUAAGGGGGUGACCCCUGGCUGGACUGGACAAUUCCCAGCACAGAUGGGGGGGGGGGGUUGAUUGGCCAGGCGGUUGUUCAGAUGGAAGGACUCAGUAGAGAUCCUGUGAACUAUCCACCCUUCAAGAAGGGCAAGAAAGUUGGCACCGUUCAGGUGGACCCGUCAGCUGUAUAGUGUGUCUGUCAUCUGGGGCUGACCCCCCAAGCGACUGCUGCCGAUUCCCUGUACGUCUAGAGUGCGGCUUCUCAUGGAAAUGGUAAUGAAUCGGAGCUUCACCUUGCAAGCCAGAGCCGAAGCCAGCCAGUUUAGGCGUCUCCCUAUCAGACCCCUGCGAGAUCCGGCGAGCGCCUCUCCGUUUCAGCAGACACCCUCACGACCUACCAGCAGUUAAGGCCGAUAAGUUCGUCUCUACGGGUCCCGUCUGUCUGACUGAUGGGGAUAAUAAUCACAGCCAGCGAAGGGCCACUCAGCCAAGACAUGAAUGCUCUGGUCACUUACCUUAGUCAGUGGAGACUUGGACUAAGUAAGUCUAAGGGGUGGCCACCGCCUUCCCUCUAUGGCCAACCUGGCGGGGACGCAGACAGGGCUGGGGCAGCAGGAGGCUGCGGGGCUGGGUUGAGGGGUCUCUGAGGCUAUACAGCUCCUGCCCUCAGUCGUUCAGUCCCUUGGCACUAGAGUCCCGUCUCGCCGGUUAACGGUCCAAAGGGAGCUGGGCUGGAGCCCCUGGGUCCGAGGGGGCCCCGCUGCCGCAGCACAGCGUGAAGUGGAAUCAGAGGCCGAGUGUUGGGAUUUUCAAGGGGACGCAGGGCCCAGACUGGCUGCUCCCGAGGCACUAAGUGCGGCUGGGUGGAGGUUUUCUCUCACCCCAGCGGCUCAGGCCCCGUGUGCACUGGGCAGCAUCAACAAAUCCACGUGCAGCGCCUCAGGCUUCGUCCUCAUGCCCAGGUCCCACGGGGACAGCAGCAGG